GAUGAACGCUAGCUACAGGCUUAACACAUGCAAGUCGAGGGGCAGCACAGUGUAGCAAUACAUGGGUGGCGACCGGCGCACGGGUGCGUAACGCGUAUCCAACCUUCCCGUUACUCUUGGAUAGCCUUCCGAAAGGGAGAUUAAUACAAGAUGGUAUUCAAAUUCCGCAUGUUAUUAAAACUAAAGAUUCAUCGGUAACGGAUAGGGAUGCGUGACAUUAGAUAGUUGGCGGGGUAACGGCCCACCAAGUCUACGAUGUCUAGGGGUUCUGAGAGGAAGGUCCCCCACACUGGAACUGAGACACGGUCCAGACUCCUACGGGAGGCAGCAGUGAGGAAUAUUGGUCAAUGGGCGAGAGCCUGAACCAGCCAAGUAGCGUGAAGGAUGACUGCCCUACGGGUUGUAAACUUCUUUUGUUUGGGAAUAAAAGACGCUACGUGUAGCGUUCUGCAUGUACCUUACGAAUAAGCAUCGGCUAAUUCCGUG
rnacentral:rRNA from 1 species